GGGCGUUUAGCUCAGUUGGGAGAGCACCAGAUUUGCAUUCUGGGGGUCAGGAGUUCGACCCUCCUAACGUCCACCA
rnacentral:tRNA from 1 species